rnacentral:pre_miRNA from 13 species
GGGAGAUCCUGCUCCGUCGCCCCAGUGUUCAGACUACCUGUUCAGGACAAUGCCGUUGUACAGUAGUCUGCACAUUGGUUAGACUGGGCAAGGGAGAGCA